ensembl:lncRNA
AGAGCUGAGAGAAUAAACCUGUAUCAACGGGGUUUAUUAGAUCGGCUUGCAGGUGAGCUGGGCAGCCCAGUGAACAGCUGGUGCGUGCUUGAGAGGCAGAGAAAUCGGUUUGCUGCUCAGUCCAAUGCUAGAUGCUUUAGCGGUUCCAAUCUGUCCAUGGAAGCCUGGAGGAGAGACUUCGGUUAGAGGACAGAGAGACCUGUGUUCUGGUGUUGGAAGGAAUGCUGCUGCAGUGGCCAUCAAGUGGUGACACACAGUCAGCAAGCAAAGAGCAGAGUAAACGAACAAAGAAGUAACUGAUCCCUAAACUGUUAACCGGACAAUUUGAACUGAGCCUUUCUACCGUGCUGUGAGAGACCCAAGGGACACGAGCUAUCACAUCCCCUCUCCACGUCAUCAACAGCUGUUUGGGGAAUGAGAGAAAAUUGCCUCAGAUAAAAAAUGCCAUUGUCUUAGUUAGAAUGUCUACUGCUGUGAAGUGACACCAUGACCACAGUAACUCUUACGAAGAAAAACAUUUAAUUGGAGGCUGGCUUACAGUUCAGAGGUUUAGUACAUUGUUGUCGUGGUGGGAAACAUGGCAGAGUGCAGGCAGACAUGGCACUGGAGAGAGAGCUGACUGAAAGUUCUAUUCCUCCAUCCUUGGGCAGCAGGAAAGAAGAGUGAGACUGGGCCUAGGUUGAGCUUCUGAAACCACAAGCCCUACCCCCAUAGCAACACACUUUCUCCAAUAAGGCCACGCCUACUUCAACAAGGCCACACCUACUUCAACAAGUCACACCUACUUCAACAAGGCCACACCUACUUCAACAAGGCCACACCUACUUCAACAAGGCCACACCUACUUCAACAAGGCCAUACCUACUUCAACAAGGCCACACCUACUUCAACAAGGCCACACCUACUUCAACAAGGCCACACCUACUUCAACAAGACCACACCUACUUCAACAGGGCCACACCUACUUCAACAAGGUCUUACUUCCUAACAGUGCCACUCCCUGAGCCUGUGAGGGCCACUUUCAUUCAAACCACCCUGGCCAUCACCCUUAAUUCAGGACGAUUGGCAUAUUUGCCAGUUUGGUUUAGUCUAACGGGUUUCAUGUAGAGCCAUUGUGGUUACUAUAGAGCUGAGUUUUGUCAUUGACUCCCUAAAGUCUGUAACGGGGGCCCCAGACCUUAGCAUAACCGAUUCCAUGAUGGAAAUACCAUUCAGGCUGUAAAACUCAGCACACAGACAGCACGCCUGCCCAAACUAAAACCAAUAUCUAAUCCAUCAAAGUCCAUAGUUCUGGGAAUGUCUCUAAAUGUACUAACACUGCUUUUUUGGCUUCUGUAGUUCUGCUUCCGGCUAACUGUUCUCAUUAACUGAAGUGUGUCAAAUAGGGACAUGGUUUUAGUGCUUAAAAGCUCACCCUGAGAAAGGUCAAGUGCUACACUGGGAUACACACACACACACACACACACACACACACACCCCGUGUAAUGCUCAGCUGACUAUUUAAGAGUUUCUAUUGGCUUAAACCUACGGCUGAGCAGUCUCCUCUGGUGGAUACCCCUACAACAAGCCCUUCUUUCAAUGUCAAAGCUGGACUCUCACUGGGACAAGGUCCUCUGUGGAGACCAAGGAGCGUUCAGUCCUUCUGCUUCAGCCGUCCUCGUGCUGAGGACACAGGCAUGCAGCAGCACAAAUGGGAGAGUUACCCUUGCUUCUGCCUGUAGGACGUCUGAGAUGCCAUGGGAAAGACGACGCCACACAGCUGAAGAAAUACUAACGCUUCCAUUUCCUUCCGAGAGAACAGACCCAUGCAGAACCAGGGACCAUCAAGAUGUAGAUGGGAAACGUCUCCCGUCAGUUUUCUGUGCCGAGCCCACUGUCAUGCAUCGAGCAGUCCCUGAGAGGGGAGUGAGGAUGUUUAUAGGAAAGACACAGAGACAAGAGUUAGAAUUGAGGGCUGACAGUAAAUACUGCAGCAGCCUUGAGUUUAUUUUUCCACAGCCUUUUUAUACCCCACAGGACCAUGAGAAGCGAGGCCACAAGCCAGCAGAAACAAUUGCUGAAAUAUACACAGGGCAUCUGUUCUUAUCCAGAGGCCUCCCUGUUCUUCCCACCAAGGCCAAUAGAUCGUCCAGCCCCUUGCCUUGAGCCUCAAAUGUAUCCCCUCUUAUCCUUCCAUGCCUCAGCGGGCCAGGAGAUCCUCCAACAGACCCUGACCUGCCUUGACUCUGUCUGGUAGGCAGGCUUCCCCAGAAGCAGGCAAACUGGUUCCCGACAGCUCACGUGUUUUGGUACUUGGUCCCCAAUUGGGGUGGUUGUGGAUCCAAAUAGCUGGGAUGGCUGCUGGGGGUAGAAGGGUAGGCCUUUGGCGUUAUAGCAUAGUCCUGCUUGGGGUCCUCUUUCUCUGCUUCCUGCUCUGCCUCUGUGUGAGAGGCAUCAGCCAUAAGCACCUGCCUUCAUGCCUUCUCCACUGUGAUGGAGUGGUGUAGCGAGUCAAACCCUUCCUUACUGAAGCUUCUCCUGCCCCACAUUUUGUCACAGUAACAAGAAAAGUGAGGACGACAGGAGCUGUGAGAGGCAGGAAGUGUGAGGGCAGGUCCCACCUCAGGCUCUGCUGAGUAAGGGGUAUAAGGGUCUGCACCCCAGUUGCUCCAGGGAGGGAUCUAAGGCUAAACAAC